rnacentral:rRNA from 1 species
UUUAUGAGAGUUUGAUCCUGGCUCAGGACGAACGCUGGCGGCGUGCCUAAUACAUGCAAGUAGAACGCUGAAGUCUGGUGCUUGCACUAGACGGAUGAGUUGCGAACGGGUGAGUAACGCGUAGGUAACCUGCCUCAUAGCGGGGGAUAACUAUUGGAAACGAUAGCUAAUACCGCAUAACAGUAUUUACCGCAUGGUAGAUAUUUGAAAGGAGCAAUUGCUUCACUAUGAGAUGGACCUGCGUUGUAUUAGCUAGUUGGUGAGGUAACGGCUCACCAAGGCUUCGAUACAUAGCCGACCUGAGAGGGUGAUCGGCCACACUGGG